UGGGGAAUUUUGGACAAUGGGCGAAAGCCUGAUCCAGCAAUGCCGCGUGUGUGAAGAAGGCCUUCGGGUUGUAAAGCACUUUUGUCCGGAAAGAAAUGGCUCUGGUUAAUACCUGGGGUCGAUGACGGUACCGGAAGAAUAAGGACCGGCUAACUACGUGCCAGCAGCCGCGGUAAUACGUAGGGUCCAAGCGUUAAUCGGAAUUACUGGGCGUAAAGCGUGCGCAGGCGGUUGUGCAAGACCGAUGUGAAAUCCCCGAGCUUAACUUGGGAAUUGCAUUGGUGACUGCACGGCUAGAGUGUGUCAGAGGGGGGUAGAAUUCCACGUGUAGCAGUGAAAUGCGUAGAGAUGUGGAGGAAUACCGAUGGCGAAGGCAGCCCCCCUGGGAUAACACUGACGCUCAUGCACGAAAGCGUGGGGAGCAAACAGGAUUAGAU
rnacentral:rRNA from 1 species